UUAAAAGUGAUGACUGGGAAAAGUAAACGGAGUUUCAUCUUUUCAGGGAGAAAGCGUCGUGACUGGAAGCGCUUUUAAAGUAUGUGCCGUUGAAGUUCUCCCCGCGAACUGCCGGAUUGAAAGUCUUUGGAGUAGGUUCGGCCGGAUUCUUCUACCGUUAAAAGGAAGGGGGUAUAAGGAAUAAAUCCCGUACCCUGCCUAAAGAGUGGGUCAUUUAUUGACCAACAAGGGUGGUACCGCGAAACAACUUUUCGUCCCUUUA
rnacentral:ncRNA from 1 species